rnacentral:tRNA from 1 species
GGAUAAGUGGUCGAGUGGUUUAUGGCGCCAGUUUUGAAAACUGGAGUAGUGUUUAGCUACCGUGGGUUCGAAUCCUACCUUAUCCU